CGGGCAAUAGCAGCGGGAAACAGGCUAUUCAAGAAAGCUAGGGAAGCUGCGGAACAACGGCAACAUAAAGAACGAUAAGAACACAAAUUACUACGUUCGGGACGUAGGGGCCGGAGGUUCGAAUCCUCUCUCCCCGACCA
rnacentral:tRNA from 1 species